rnacentral:rRNA from 1 species
GCACCACAAGAACGCGUGGAGCAUGUGGCUUAAUUUGACUCAACGCGGGAAAUCUUACCGGGUCCGGACACACUGAGGAUUGACAGGUAUUAUAUAGCACACUUCGGUGUGUCUAUUGUUAAAUAUGCUAGUCCUUUCAUGAUUAUGUGAUAGGUGGUGCAUGGCCGUUCUUAGUUCGUGGAGUGAUCUGUCUGCUUAAUUGCGUUUCAGAUAAGGAUCUAUAUUCUUUACAGUGCUGCAGUCGUAAUUGACCCCUUUCUCACGAGAGUGUGUGUCUUUUUGCGCUCACACUUUACAUUAGUCCUGAAAGCAACGAACGUGACCGCAACCUCUUGUUGCCUCAUCUCCCCAUCACUAGGUA